GUUCAUCUUAAGGUUCAUUCGCUAGAGCAUGAGACUCUUAAUAUCAGGGUCAUGGGUUCGAGCCCCAUGUUGGGCA